CGGACGGGUGAGUAACGCGUGGAAAACCUGCCGUAUACUGGGGGAUAACACUUAGAAAUAGGUGCUAAUACCGCAUAAGCGCACAGCUCCGCAUGAAGCGGUGUGAAAAACUCUGGUGGUAUACGAUGGUUCCGCGUCUGAUUAGCUAGUUGGUGGGGUAAUGGCCUACCAAGGCAACGAUCAGUAGCCGGCCUGAGAGGGUGAACGGCCACAUUGGGACUGAGACACGGCCCAAACUCCUACGGAAGGCAGCAG
rnacentral:rRNA from 1 species